rnacentral:rRNA from 1 species
ACCCCGUGAACCUUUACUACAGCUUGGCACUGAACAUUGACCCUACAUGUGUAGGAUAGGUGGGAGGCUUUGAAGCAGGUACGCCAGUAUCUGUGGAGCCGUCCUUGAAAUACCACCCUUGUAGUGUUGAUGUUCUAACGUCGACCCCUUAUCGGGGUCGCGGACAGUGCCUGGUGGGUAGUUUGACUGGGGCGGUCUCCUCCCAAAGAGUAACGGAGGAGCACGAAGGUGGGCUA